UGCCGGCGACCGGCGACGGGUGCGUAACGCGUAUGUAACCUACCUUUGACAGGGGGAUAACAUCGAGAAAUUGGUACUAAUACCCCAUAACAUCACCGGAGGCAUCUUCGGUGGUUGAAAACUCAGGUGGUCAGAGAUGGCAUGCGUUGUAUUAGCUAGUUGGUGAGGUAACGGCUCACCAAGGCGACGAUACAUAGGGGGACUGAGAGGUCAACCCCCCACAUUGGUACUGAGACACGGACCAAACUCCUACGGAAGGCAGCAG
rnacentral:rRNA from 1 species